CCCCACGCCGUGAAGUCAUAAUCCUGUGUCUGUGACACCCUGUCGGUUGCUAUGGAAACGACUCGCUGUUAAACACUGGCGUUCUCAAUGAGGGUUGCAGGGGUUCCGAGGCGGACCUGGGGAGCAGAAACCCCUGUUUAGGGUGAACCGUGGCGGGCGCCGAUGGCCUCUUGGAAGAGGACAGACUAGCAGCUGCGAGGGAGAUGGGACUGGGUUUCACCCCUGAAAGGGCCCCUGGAGACAGCGGGGAAACUGACAGGGAGAUCAUGAUGUCGCCAUUUUGAUGGGGUCCCCAGAGGAGAGAUGUCCUCCCCAACGGCUCCUGGACAGGACUGGGGAAAGAGUUCAGAUAAGUAUCUCUGUGGUCUGGGCUGUCACCUUACAACUGCACAACUCUGGACCUCCAGCAUCAGAACCACUGGGGCCUAGGUUAAUAAUACAGAUUUUCAGGCUCCAAUUUGGACAGACGAAACUGAUCUCUGGGGUGGGACCCAGGAAUCUACGUGUAAACAAGCACCCAGGGGAGUUCUGCUCACUGAAAUUUGAGAAUCCCUGAUUUAGAAGGAGGACUAUGCUCUGUGCAUGUUCUCUGAAAUGUUGGGUCAAUCAGGACCUGUCUACUGAAACUGCUCCAACCAGCCAAGGUGCAGAGAAAAGAUGCGUGCAGGGCCGAAAACCAGGGUGCUCUGGAGGCAGGGAGCCCUCGAGAAUGUAAAGCCAGCAAGCUGUUACAGAGUGAUUUGCACAGAACAGACACUCAGUUGAUAUUUGUCAAUUUGCUGUGUUUAAGAACCUUGCUGAAUUAAUUUAAAAGGUAUUUUUAAAAGAAUGAAAUUGAGGAAAAAACCUUCAAGGUUCAGAAAAUGUGAAGUUCUCAUUUACUUGUUUAUGAAAUUGUUUUUGAGUCCAAUAAAGAUGCUCAGCUAAAAUGGUUUUUUUGUUUUAAAUCUCAGAAUUAAGUUUCUCUUAGUUUUGGGCAGUUCGGUCCAGCUACUUGCAAAAGACAGGCUUCCAUAUCUCCUGUAUGCAGCCCUGAAGGACCCAACAGAAGUAAAAUAGUUAUUUAAGGAAUGCAAAGGACUAGGGACAGGAUGCAGAUUAAAAUGUUUAAGAUGAUGUCUGCAGAUGAUGUUUGUAGAUGCUUAAGUUUGUUGAAUUCUUAGUCUUCCUCACAAAGCAGCUAAUUACUUUCAAGACUCUAGUGAGCCUCAAUUUACUCCAAUUUAUGAUUUCCAAUGGUUCUGCAUAAAACUGGGUUGCCGUUUUAUGAAAUUGUUUGCAUCUGCUUGACGUGGGCGCAAACUUCACAGUGAGGAGAUAAUGUGAGGGUUUUGCCUUCUUGCAAAACAACUUACAUAUAUAUGUGAAAAAACUGGGGUUGGGGUUUGAAUUAUGUGGACUGCCUGUGCGUAGUAAGCUCUCUGGUCAGUUACCUAUUUGGCUUUGUGUGGACACAGCUCUUAGGAGGGAGGGUGGUGGAAUUCCUGCUCAUUACCUAUAGUAUCUUGCAGGAGGGCUGCUGAACGCCGGAGCCUUACAACUGUUAAACUCAGGCAGAGCUCGGGAAAUGCUGCCCGGAUGGGUGACUGAUGGAGAGGGGCUACCACUCUUCCAGCUAAACUCCGCUCUGGUUGGGACCCAGCAAUUAUUUUCCAUAGCGAAGUGUUAAUAAAAUAUCUGUUACUCCCAACACAACCUCCUGGGGGAAGGGACCUGUCUGUCUGCUUCAACUUUGGAUCCUCAGUGCCCACAUCAGGAUACCUGGCCUGAGAGCAUCCGGUGACCCAGUUUUAGGUCUCAAGGUCACUGCCAAGAAAGAGAAGCUGCUAAAGUGACACCUCUGUGCACCCACAUGACUUAACACAAAAGUUAACAGGAGCUCUUCAAAAACAAGCCUCUCGAGUGUCUGUCUCCUGUUUUCCCUGAGGACAGCAUCAGUGGCAUCAGAUAGGGGUUGGGGCUGGGUGACCUGCUGGUCCUCAGCCAUCACUGUGGCCCAGAGGUCAUUUAAGCAGCUCUCUGCUUAGCAGACAGGCAGAGGGAAUAGAUGGAAGGUACAGGUAAACACUGCAUGUGGCCACCGCGAGGAUACCCCGGAGCCUGGGAAACAGACAGGGACGUCGUAAAACCAACACAUAAUGGACCAGUGCAGAGACAGGCAAAACCAGUCAGAAGAAAUAGGAUGGUGCCUAGCCCAGGGACACCUGACUUAAGAGAGGGUCCUGCCGGUAUUACCCUGGAGGAAGGAAUGCUGCACAGAGGCCGAGAGGAAUUUGAACAGACUGGCCUUGCUGGGUUUUUAUCUCUUUUUGUCCAAUCCCAUUUUGACACAGUUGUCCAUGCUCCAAUCAUGCUUAUCCAAUGAAGUUUCCAUAACAGGCCUGAGAGGACAGGGUUCAGGAGCUUCCGGACAGCUGAGCAGGUGGAGGUUCCUGGAGGGUGGUGUGCCAGGGAGGGUGUGGAAGCUCUGCCCCUUCCCCCAUACCUUGUCCUAUGCAUUCCUUUAUCUGCAUCCUUCAUUUUAUUUUAUUUUUUUUUGAGACGGAGUCUUGCUCUUGUCGUCCAGGCUGGAAUGCAGUGGUGCGCGA
rnacentral:lncRNA from 1 species